rnacentral:rRNA from 1 species
UACGUAGGGACCGCGCGUUGUCCGGAAUCAUUGGGCGUAAAGAGCGUGUAGGCGGUCCGGUAAGUCGGCUGUGAAAGUCCAGGGCUCAACCCUGGGAUGCCGGUCGAUACUGCCGGACUAGAGUUCGGAAGAGGCGAGUGGAAUUCCCGGUGUAGCGGUGAAAUGCGCAGAUAUCGGGAGGAACACCUAUGGCGAAGGCAGCUCGCUGGGACGUUACUGACGCUGAGACGCGAAAGCGUGGGGAGCAAACAGG